CCUGUCUGAAUAUGGGGGGACCAUCCUCCAAGGCUAAAUACUCCUGACUGACCGAUAGUGAACCAGUACCGUGAGGGAAAGGCGAAAAGAACCCCGGCGAGGGGAGUGAAAAAGAACCUGAAACCGUGUACGUACAAGCAGUGGGAGCCUCUUUAUGGGGUGACUGCGUACCUUUUGUAUAAUGGGUCAGCGACUUAUAUUCUGUAGCAAGGUUAACCGAAUAGGGGAGCCGAAGGGAAACCGAGUCUUAACUGGGCGUUAAGUUGCAGGGUAUAGACCCGAAACCCGGUGAUCUAGCCAUGGGCAGGUUGAAGGUUGGGUAACACUAACUGGAGGACCGAACCGACUAAUGUUGAAAAAUUAGCGGAUGACUUGUGGCUGGGGGUGAAAGGCCAAUCAAACCGGGAGAUAGCUGGUUCUCCCCGAAAGCUAUUUAGGUAGCGCCUCGUGAAUUCAUCUCCGGGGGUAGAGCACUGUUUCGGCAAGGGGGUCAUCCCGACUUACCAACCCGAUGCAAACUGCGAAUACCGGAGAAUGUUAUCACGGGAGACACACGGCGGGUGCUAACGUCCGUCGUGAAGAGGGAAACAACCCAGACCGCCAGCUAAGGUCCCAAAGUCAUGGUUAAGUGGGAAACGAUGUGGGAAGGCCCAGACAGCCAGGAUGUUGGCUUAGAAGCAGCCAUCAUUUAAAGAAAGCGUAAUAGCUCACUGGUCGAGUCGGCCUGCGCGGAAGAUGUAACGGGGCUAAACCAUGCACCGAAGCUGCGGCAGCGACACUAUGUGUUGUUGGGUAGGGGAGCGUUCUGUAAGCCUGUGAAGGUGGCCUGUGAGGGUUGCUGGAGGUAUCAGAAGUGCGAAUGCUGACAUAAGUAACGAUAAAGCGGGUGAAAAGCCCGCUCGCCGGAAGACCAAGGGUUCCUGUCCAACGUUAAUCGGGGCAGGGUGAGUCGACCCCUAAGGCGAGGCCGAAAGGCGUAGUCGAUGGGAAACAGGUUAAUAUUCCUGUACUUGGUGUUACUGCGAAGGGGGGACGGAGAAGGCUAUGUUGGCCGGGCGACGGUUGUCCCGGUUUAAGCGUGUAGGCUGGUUUUCCAGGCAAAUCCGGAAAACCAAGGCUGAGGCGUGAUGACGAGGCACUACGGUGCUGAAGCGACAAAUGCCCUGCUUCCAGGAAAAGCCUCUAAGCAUCAGGUAACAUCAAAUCGUACCCCAAACCGACACAGGUGGUCAGGUAGAGAAUACCAAGGCGCUUGAGAGAACUCGGGUGAAGGAACUAGGCAAAAUGGUGCCGUAACUUCGGGAGAAGGCACGCUGAUAUGUAGGUGAAGCGACUUGCUCGUGGAGCUGAAAUCAGUCGAAGAUACCAGCUGGCUGCAACUGUUUAUUAAAAACACAGCACUGUGCAAACACGAAAGUGGACGUAUACGGUGUGACGCCUGCCCGGUGCCGGAAGGUUAAUUGAUGGGGUUAGCGGUAACGCGAAGCUCUUGAUCGAAGCCCCGGUAAACGGCGGCCGUAACUAUAACGGUCCUAAGGUAGCGAAAUUCCUUGUCGGGUAAGUUCCGACCUGCACGAAUGGCGUAAUGAUGGCCAGGCUGUCUCCACCCGAGACUCAGUGAAAUUGAACUCGCUGUGAAGAUGCAGUGUACCCGCGGCAAGACGGAAAGACCCCGUGAACCUUUACUAUAGCUUGACACUGAACAUUGAGCCUUGAUGUGUAGGAUAGGUGGGAGGCUUUGAAGUGUGGACGCCAGUCUGCAUGGAGCCGACCUUGAAAUACCACCCUUUAAUGUUUGAUGUUCUAACGUUGGCCCGUAAUCCGGGUUGCGGACAGUGUCUGGUGGGUAGUUUGACUGGGGCGGUCUCCUCCUAAAGAGUAACGGAGGAGCACGAAGGUUGGCUAAUCCUGGUCGGACAUCAGGAGGUUAGUGCAAUGGCAUAAGCCAGCUUGACUGCGAGCGUGACGGCGCGAGCAGGUGCGAAAGCAGGUCAUAGUGAUCCGGUGGUUCUGAAUGGAAGGGCCAUCGCUCAACGGAUAAAAGGUACUCCGGGGAUAACAGGCUGAUACCGCCCAAGAGUUCAUAUCGACGGCGGUGUUUGGCACCUCGAUGUCGGCUCAUCACAUCCUGGGGCUGAAGUAGGUCCCAAGGGUAUGGCUGUUCGCCAUUUAAAGUGGUACGCGAGCUGGGUUUAGAACGUCGUGAGACAGUUCGGUCCCUAUCUGCCGUGGGCGCUGGAGAACUGAGGGGGGCUGCUCCUAGUACGAGAGGACCGGAGUGGACGCAUCACUGGUGUUCGGGUUGUCAUGCCAAUGGCACUGCCCGGUAGCUAAAUGCGGAAGAGAUAAGUGCUGAAAGCAUCUAAGCACGAAACUUGC
rnacentral:rRNA from 1 species